rnacentral:rRNA from 1 species
UACAGAGGGGGCAAGCGUUAUUCGGAAUUAUUGGGCGUAAAGGGCGCGUAGGCGGCCUGGCAAGUGGAAGGUGAAAUCCCUCGGCUUAACCGAGGAACUGCCCUCCAAACUGCUUGGCUUGAGUCCGGGAGAGGUGAGUGGAAUUCCCAGUGUAGCGGUGAAAUGCGUAGAUAUUGGGAGGAACACCAGUGGCGAAGGCGGGUUGCUGGGCUGAUACUGACGCUGAUGCGCGAAAGCCAGGGGAGCGAACGGG